rnacentral:rRNA from 1 species
AGAGUUUGAUCAUGGCUCAGAAUGAACGCUGGCGGCGUGCCUAACACAUGCAAGUCGAGCGAGAAAGUCCCCUUCGGGGGGCGAGUAAAGCGGCGCACGGGUGAGUAACGCGUGGGUAACCUGCCCUUGAGUGGGGGAUAACCAGCCGAAAGGCUGACUAAUCCCGCAUACGACCGGCAGACACAAGUCUGUCGGGGAAAGAUGGCCUCUGCUUGCAAGCUAUCGCUCUUGGAUGGGCCCGCGUUGGAUUAGCUAGUUGGUGGGGUAACGGCCUACCAAGGCUGCGAUCCAUAGCUGGUUUGAGAGGACGACCAGCCACACUGGAACUGAGACACGGUCCGGACUCCUACGGGAGGCAGCAGUGAGGAAUAUUGCGCAAUGGGGGAAACCCUGACGCAGCGACGCCGUGUGAGCGAUGAAGGUCUUCGGAUCGUAAAGCUCUGUCCUUGGGGAAGAAGGCGAAAGCUUGACGGUACCCAAGAAGAAAGCCCCGGCUAACUACGUGCCAGCAGCCGCGGUAAUACGUAGGGGGCGAGCGUUGUCCGGAAUUACUGGGCGUAAAGGGUGCGUAGGCGGCCCUUUAAGUCGGAUGUGAAAGCCCGCGGCUUAACCGCGGAAUGGCAUUCGAAACUGGAGGGCUUGAGUGUCGGAGAGGGUAGUGGAAUUCCCAGUGUAGCGGUGAAAUGCGUAGAUAUUGGGAGGAACACCAGUGGCGAAGGCGACUACCUGGACGAUAACUGACGCUGAGGCACGAAAGCUAGGGGAGCAAACAGGAUUAGAUACCCUGGUAGUCCUAGCCGUAAACGAUGGGUACUAGGUGUGGGUGGUUUCGAUACCAUCCGUGCCGUAGUUAACGCAUUAAGUACCCCGCCUGGGGGAGUACGUGCGCAAGCAUGAAACUCAAAUGAAAUUGACGG